rnacentral:rRNA from 1 species
GAUGAACGCUGGCGGCGUGCUUAACACAUGCAAGUCGAACGAGGAUUUAACGGAAUGCGAUUCGUCAAAUGAAAUUAAAUCCGAGUGGCGGACGGGUGAGUAACGCGUGGAUAACCUGCCUCACACAGGGGGACAACAGUUGGAAACGACUGCUAAUACCGCAUAAGCGCACAGGAUUGCAUGAUCUGGUGUGGAAAAACUCCGGUGGUAUAAGAUGGACCCGCGUCUGAUUAGCUGGUUGGUGAGGUAACGGCCCACCAAGGCGACGAUCAGUAGCCGACCUGAGAGGGUGACCGGCCACAUUGGGACUGAGACACGGCCCAAAACUCCUACGGGAGGCAGCAGUGGGGAAUAUUGCACAAAUGGGGGAAACCCUGAUGCAGCGACGCCGCGUGAGCGAUGAAGUAUUUCGGUAUGUAAAAACUCAUCAGCAGGGAAGAUAAUGGACGGUAACCUGACUAAGAAGCACCGGCUAAAA